GGGGGCAUAGCUCAGUUGGUAGAGCGUCUGCUUUGCAAGCAGAAUGUCGCAGGUUCGAUUCCUGUUGCCUCCACCA
rnacentral:tRNA from 1 species